rnacentral:lncRNA from 1 species
UAGAGGGACCACUAAAGAUAUCACAUAAGAAAAGCCAUUGCACCACUUAAAAGAGUCGGAGACGCGACUUGGUUAUCACAUCCGGAGCCACAAGGCACAUCUUGUUGCUUCUCUCACGCCAGAAGGAGAUGAGCCUUUAAAAAUGCAUUCCUUCAAGGGGAUAAACAUGGAUCACAAAAAUGUAGUCCGCCUAAAAACCGGGGUUAAUUUACUGAAAUCUAA